rnacentral:rRNA from 1 species
AUUGAACGCUGGCGGCAGGCCUAACACAUGCAAGUCGAACGAGUGGCGGACGGGUGAGUAAUGUCUGGGAAACUGCUCGAUGGAGGGGGAUAACUACUGGAAACGGUAGCUAAUACUGCAUACCAUUGGAUCUGGCCCGAUGGGAUUAGCUAGUAGGUGGGGUAACGGCCCACCAAGGCGACGAUCCCUAGCUGGUCUGAGAGGAUGACCAGCCACACUGGAACUGAGACACGGUCCAGACUCCUACGGGAGGCAGCAGUGGGGAAUAGUGGACAAUGGGCGAAAGCCUGAUGCAGCCAUGCCGCGUGUAUGAAGAAGGCCUUCGGGUUGUAAAGUACUUUCAGCGGGGAGGCGUUACUCGCAGAAGAAGCACCGGCUAACUCCGUGCCAGCAGCCGCGGUAAUAC